rnacentral:rRNA from 1 species
AUGAACGCUGGCGGCGUGCUUAACACGAUGCAAGUCGAACGAGAAAGCCGAAGCUUGCUUUUGGCGAGUAAAGUGGCGCACGGGUGAGUAACGCGUGGGUAAUCUACCUCCGAAUUUGGGAUAACACUUCGAAAGGGGUGCUAAAUACCGGAUGAUAUCCAUUGGACUUAGGUUUGAUGGAUCAAAGAUAGCCGAUCCUUGGAAGCUAUUGUUUGGAGAUGAGCCCGCGUCCCAUUAGCUAGUUGGUAGGGUAAGAGCCUACCAAGGCGACGAUGGGUAGCUGGUCUGAGAGGAUGAUCAGCCACACUGGAACUGGAACACGGUCCAGACUCCUACGGGAGGCAGCAGUGAGGAAUUUUGCGCAAUGGGGGCAACCCUGACGCAGCAACGCCGCGUGAGUGAUGAAGGCCUUCGGGUCGUAAAGCUCUGUCAAGUGGGAAGAACCUAUUAUAUGUGAACAGCAUGUGAUACUGACGGUACCACUGAAGGAAGCACCGGCUAACUCCGUGCCAGCAGCCGCGGUAA